rnacentral:rRNA from 1 species
GACGAACGCUGGCGGCGUGCCUAAUACAUGCAAGUCGAACGCUUCUUCCCCACCGGAGCUUGCUCCACCGGGGAAGAAGAGUGGCGAACGGGUGAGUAACACGUGGGCAACCUGCCCUUCAGUGGGGGACAACACUUGGAAACAGGUGCUAAUACCGCAUAACAGGCUUUUCCUCAUGGAAAAGCUUUGAAAGACGCUUUCGGGUGUCACUGAAGGAUGGGCCCGCGGUGCAUUAGCUAGUUGGUGAGGUAACGGCCCACCAAGGCGACGAUGCAUAGCCGACCUGAGAGGGUGAUCGGCCACAUUGGGACUGAGACACGGCCCAAACUCCUACGGGAGGCAGCAGUAGGGAAUCUUCGGCAAUGGACGAAAGUCUGACCGAGCAACGCCGCGUGAGUGAAGAAGGUUUUCGGAUCGUAAAACUCUGUUGGUAGAGAAGAACGUUGGUGAGAGUGGAAAGCUCAUCAAGUGACGGUAACUACCCAGAAAGGGACGGCUAACUACGUGCCAGCCGCCGCCGUAAGAC